GACAGGCCACAAUAGACUGCUCCUUUCCCAGAUUACAAAAACGUAGUAACUUCCCCUUGUGAUGUCUCCGAAGGAUUCUUUGGAAGAAGGCAUCUAACAGUUCCUGUGAAAGACAUCAAUGGAAUCCUCACUUUCAAGAAAAUCACAAUUAGAGGCUGGAAAAAGAUUAAAGAGAUACAGAAUUGCUGUCAUGAAGCUUUCAACACGAAGCUUGACAUUCAAAUUGAAAUCUCAAACUGCUACUGAUAUUGGAGAGGAAACAGAAAAGGAUUAGAAGAAGAAAUAGUAGAGAAUUUUUUCACUAAAUCUAUUCUGGAUUAUAUUAUGUACUUGGGUCUUGUGGUAGUGAUAUGUUUAAUGCAAAUUGACACAAUAAUGAACUUUGCUGAACAGAUAUUAUAGUACUAUGAAUUUCAUUGAUAUCUAUAUAUCCCUAUCUAAAUUCCAUAAUUUCACAUAAUAAAAUAUAUUUGUAUCAAUUGUG